rnacentral:rRNA from 1 species
CCUACGGGAGGCAGCAGUGGGGAAUAUUGGACAAUGGGCGAAAGCCUGAUCCAGCCAUGCCGCGUGUGUGAAGAAGGUCUUCGGAUUGUAAAGCACUUUAAGUUGGGAGGAAGGGUUGUAGAUUAAUACUCUGCAAUUUUGACGUUACCGACAGAAUAAGCACCGGCUAACUCUGUGCCAGCAGCCGCGGUAAUACAGAGGGUGCAAGCGUUAAUCGGAAUUACUGGGCGUAAAGCGCGCGUAGGUGGUUUGUUAAGUUGGAUGUGAAAUCCCCGGGCUCAACCUGGGAACUGCAUUCAAAACUGACUGACUAGAGUAUGGUAGAGGGUGGUGGAAUUUCCUGUGUAGCGGUGAAAUGCGUAGAUAUAGGAAGGAACACCAGUGGCGAAGGCGACCACCUGGACUAAUACUGACACUGAGGUGCGAAAGCGUGGGGAGCAAACAGGAUUAGAUACCCUGGUAGUCCACGCCGUAAACGAUGUCAACUAGCCGUUGGAAGCCUUGAGCUUUUAGNGGCGCAGCUACGACAUUAAGUUAGUACCGCCGUCGGGUAGGUACGGCCGGCGAACGUUAAACGUAACGAAAGAAAGUAGUACGGACGUGAGACGUAGCCGACGGACGACGACGAGGGAGGAGG